rnacentral:lncRNA from 1 species
AGAGUUGAAAGAAGCGCUGCCCAGCGACAUCCGCUCUCCUUCCCUACCGAACAGAACCUGUUGCACUGAGCCUGGUCACGCUGGAGAUGGAGGAAAGGCUAAAGUUCAAGUUCACAGACCUCGAAGAGAGAAGGCAAGAUGAUGAUGAUGUAUUCUCACCUGAUGGACCCUGCUGAGACAGUGAUUUUGGCCACGAGGGAGACAUUGCAGGUUUUGCUGUACUGCUGUAAUUUCGCCAUUGCUGGACAGAGGUUCACUGCACAGUCUACGCCUUCUCCAGAAGAGUCAGAUCAGUCAGGCUCCACCAAACGCUACUUCAGCCACAUGUUGAAGCAGGCCCCUGUUUGGAGCCAGCAUCCUGCAGCUGCUGGCCUCAGCUUCCUCUCUGAACAUACCCCCCAGUUAGCAGAAAGCCGAAGGUGCAGGGAGGCUAAGGAGUGAAGCAAGUGAGCAACCAGUCUUAAUGACAGAGAUAUUGCGUCAGACAUCUUUUGAGGGAGUUGAUUCAGUUAUACAAAUCUAAGAUGCUACUAGUCACUUGACACUUCUCUGGCCUUUAUACAUAAAACGGGACUCAGAGCAGGGAAAUUACUGGCUUGCAUGAGCACACAUCAGCAACCCAUUUCCUCUGCUAGCUGGAAAGCACUACAAGA